rnacentral:rRNA from 1 species
GAUGAACGCUGGCGGCGUGCCUAAUACAUGCAAGUCGAGCGAACGGACGAGAAGCUUGCUUCUCUGAUGUUAGCGGCGGACGGGUGAGUAACACGUGGAUAACCUACCUAUAAGACUGGGAUAACUUCGGGAAACCGUAGCUAAUACCGGAUAAUAUUUUGAACCGCAUGGUUCAAAAGUGAAAGACGGUCUUGCUGUCACUUAUAGAUGGAUCCGCGCUGCAUUAGCUAGUUGGUAAGGUAACGGCUUACCAAGGCAACGAUGCAUAGCCGACCUGAGAGGGUGAUCGGCCACACUGGAACUGAGACACGGUCCAGACUCCUACGGGAGGCAGCAGUAGGGAAUCUUGCGCAAUGGGCGAAAGCCUGACGGAGCAACGCCGCGUGAGUGAUGAAGGUCUUCGGAUCGUAAAACUCUGUUAUUAGGGAAGAACAGAUGUGUAAGUAACUGUGCACAUCUUGACGGUACCUAAUCAGAAAGCCACGGCUAACUACGUG